CUGAAAGGCAGCAGCUCGAUCUCGAGACCAGGAAAAACAAUACGUGCCCUCACAUGAAGGUUUCCAGUAACACCGGGAAAAAAGUCGAUAGAUUUGUCGCUAGUCGCUUAUUUGAAAAGCUACAGUGGUCUGAAAACUCGCUAAAUAUAGCGAGAAAGUCGGCGAGUUGAUGAAGUCGUCUCUGUGAGGCGAGGUCCCGUUUGCCGCCCGCCCACAAGCGUAAGCAAUUAAGCUCAUCCAGCAGCAAAGUGAUUGGAAGGUUUCAAGGGCAGGAAGUGGGCAGCAGAUCCCAACAAACGACCACAUGACUAACGGCGCCGACAUCCGUGUGCGAAAAGUGUUUGCCAUCCACUGACAAGUUGUGAGGAGCGGCCCGCCACCGACCAACAACGUCACGGAUUUGGUGAAGUUCUUUAUCGCCUUCUUCAGGACACGCCGGGGCCGAUGAGGGCAGAACUGGGCGGGCGUGGCGUUCAGGAGACCGCGGAAAAUCAACAACACAAGACGAUGAAAUCAAGUCGCACAGAAAAGGGAAGGGACCAAAUGAAGUUUCACGAUUUUCAGUUCGCUGACCAACACGCUGCUUUUUAUUCUACAUGACGUCACUAGAGACGACACAAGCAGGCAGCAAUGUGCAUGAAGAUGCCACAGCAGCGCCCCCCGCAGGUAGGAACCACCACUGCUACCUGUUAGUUUGUCUCCUCCAAAAAGAAAGAGAUUGCCAUCUUAAACACACACACACUCACACACACACACACACACACUCACACAGGCGGGUAUAUCGAGCUUUUAAUUUCCUCCCGGGAUAUGAGCAUGGCGUGUUAAUAAUGCAUGCUGGGACGCUGAGUCCAGAUCGAAGCAGGCAGGCGUUGCUGGCUGAUUGGCGGUUUGAUCUGAUGUGCACUAAUAGAGGCCUUGAUGGUGGUGGGGGGAUGAGGCGUUGUUCAUCUGUGGGGGAUGGGGGUCGGCCGGGGGGGGGGGGGGUGUUGUCUUGUCUGGUGUGAAGAUGAAGUAUCAUCCAGUAUAUUCCAGAGCUGUCUUCUAAACGAGCUCGCACCUCCAGGCGCCGAGGGUCGCGUUUUUAAUCAAAAGCUACGCCGCCGCCGCCUCCGCCAAAUCUAAUUAGAUGAUGUGGGCGUGGCCAAGGUGAGUGAGAAUGGGGGUGCGGAUUCUACGGAAGAGGGAGGAAUACAUUCGAAAGCAUGUUGGUGUUCUGACAGUCAUUACCCGAAGCGUUACAAGACCACCACGUCGAUGCUAAUCGCUAGCAUCUCUUUGCUGAAUAGUGCAAGAUAGAAAAAGAUGAAUAUACUGUACUGAGGGCUCAGCUCAUCUCUUGGUUCUUCGGUACAGCAGUAAUAUUCGUUGUUCAUCACGCAGCAUAAAAACAUACGGCCAUGAGGAUUGUCAUAUUAACUUCAAGUAUUCAAGUAUCAGCUGCUUAAAGGGUAACAACGCUGCUACAUGGAUGCUAAUUGUUAGCAUGUUGUUUUGAAUAGGCCAUGUGUAACACCUUUUUUUUUUUUUUUUUACGUCUGUGAGGGUAAACAUCAACCGCCAUGUUCACGCGGCGGGACGACGCCAAAGCGGCAAACAGAUGAAGGAGGGACUUGGGGAGGGAGAAUAACGACAAGAACAAUAACAACGAGCAAAGUAACACCGGCCAUGAAAAGCCGAUGACAUACCCGUCAUUUUUUAAAGCCUCAUUUCCCUGGAAGAGGUCUCCUGUGCUUUGCAAAAUGAUUGACGAGGAGCAUAACACUGACGUUCCCACUGAUGAAGAUCAAUUGAAGUUUUUUUUUGUGGGGGCGGGGGGGUUGUUUCUCUUCGGCUUUUUCACAGCGAAACAAAAAUGCGGAAUGACGCAAAGUACGAAGCAACUGUGCUCAUUCUUCUUUCCUGCUUUGUUUUUGCAAUUGAAUUCGCAGGUGGGAACGGAGUGGUGAAAAGCAAUCAACGUUUUUAAUUUCAUUUUAAAAAAAAAAAGAAAACGCUUGACUAUUAAAAAAAAAAAACAUGACCUUUCACUUUGUCAAUUUCGAAAAGCUCUCCUCGCGUGGAAAACAAAAGCUGCUCUGGGAAUUGCAAACAUCCACUCCUUGACUCCAACUUUAAAAAGAAGAAAAGUCGUGCUCACAUUUUGUGCCAUUUGAAGAUGAAAUGGCAGAUUGAGUCGGUUGUUAAAUUCCCCACAACUACGGUAUUUGUAGACAACACAUUAAAAAGUCCAUUUGCCAUAACUCGGCUGCUUUAAGGAGAAGCAGAGCAUAAUGAUGAGAAAUUUAGAGAAGGACAAAGUGAUGACUCAGCCAAGGUACGAGAGGUGGCGACUAAGCAAUGGAAAAAAAAAAAAGGAAAAGGUCAACGCUGCGUACUUCACUCUGGCAACUAAUUGACGUUGA